AAGAUAAAUGAAAUCAUAAAACAAAAACUAAGUUCUCAUGAAAUGAGAAACAUUAUUCAAUGAAAACAAAACCAAAAUCUAAAAACUUUAGGCUUCAACCACCACAUUCCACCAUCAACCUUCAUGUAAUAGAUAAUUAUUUUAAAAGUUCAAUAAUAUCCUAAAGUAUUUUAGAUACAUAUUAAGAAUUAAGAUCAUAUUUGGUAGAAGUUCUUUUUGUCAUUUUAUAUGUUUCGGGUUCUAUCGGAUAUCCAUUUAGGUUCGGGUUCAGUUUGGAUAAUACGCGUAACCCAAAAUACCAAAAAAAACAGGAUCCAUUCGGUAUUUAUGUCGGGUUCGGAUCGGUUCGGAUUCGUUUUUAUCGGAUCAUGUUCGGUUCGGAUUUUCGGGUUCGGUUUAUUUGCCCAACCCUAAAAUUUUUCAUACAAAUAAAAGGAUUGAUGAUGAUGAGGUCAUCAGCUUUUAAGACAGAGUGCUGAGGUAGAGAUCUUUUAAUUUUCUUCUUAUGCUUUCCGUUUGGUGUGGUUCAUUCAAAUUAACUCUCAGUCAGUCUUCUCUGCUUAACACUCUUCAUCACCGUAAUCUAUCCAUAAUUUUGCAGGUAAAUCCAGUGAGAAUGGACGAGCUUCACUCAUAGUUAUAAGUUCAAAGAUUACAGAUGCAUGCUCUCCUAUUGGGACAGGUGGUUGGUCUUGAGUCUUAUCUACAAUCUUACGUUCAUGCAUGGGAGAUCCGACGUUUUUAUAAUCUUUCUUCUUAUCCUUAUUGUCUUGCACAUCCUGUUUACGCUUCGGUGUCUUCUUGUCUUCAAACGAUGUCCUAGACCGAGACUUGCGAACACGUCUCUCAGGUGGCUCAACCACAUUGAAGUCAGUCAUCUGGAGGAAAGCAUCAUCAUCUGUAAACAAAAAGUCAGACUCAGAGCCGGAGUGAACCUUCAGCUCUGUGUAUCCCGCAUGAGCCACACCGUCGCUGCGGCUUCCAGCGUCAGCAUACUCACCACCGCUCGUCGCUGGUCUACGAUCUCUCAUCUUCUUCAAACUCCCACCGCUUCCUCUUCGGGUAAGAUGAUGCCUCGGAGCAGGAAUGUUCGGCUUAGAGUUUCUUCCCCGAGAGCCUAACCUAAUCAGUCUCUGCGUAUGGUGCCUUGCCCUCCACGGUUUAUCGCAGCAAGAACACGACCUAAGGUGAGCAGAAUGGCUUGUGGAGAGCAGAUCAUACCCUAGCUUCCCUAGAAGCAAUCUGUUCACGUCUGGAUUCGGACCGGUCGUUUUGGUGAAGGACAGUAGACAAUCGUUGCACAUUCCUCGGCAGUCGGAGAGCUUGUUGUCGUGGUUUAGACACGACAUGUAAGAUGAGACCUCUGAUCUGUGGUUUCUGCAGAUGAGCAAUCUCCAGUGGAGAGGAUGGAGGAUCUUGGAGCAGAGAAAACAUGGCAUCUGCAAUCUGCAGUAGCGUGCGAACCAGACGAGGAGAUAGGAGAGGAGAGCGUCGAUGAGCAUGAGGAAUAUGAGGAACCAUUCGCAUGCUGCGUAGGUUAGCACAGGAACCUUUUGAUCAAACAUGACAUUUGGAACCAUCUUUUUCAGACUGGUGGUGACAGUGAGUUCUGGAGAACAUUAAAACUCAUCAUCUUGAAAGCAAAUUAAGGGGGAAAACUCAGAAUCUUGUGUCUGAGAUUUGCAUAUUUUGUUGAGCAUUUGGAAGUAAAAACGUGAAAGAUCCUAAAUCUGAAAACUUGGCUUCAUGAAUAAUCGGUCAAACAAACUUGUUCAAUGAUUUGUUAUUUCUGGUUUGCCUAAAUUAGUGUACAUUCUUUUUUUCGUAUGAAGAAAUGGUCGACCCGGUUUUUUGGAGAAUCUUUAAAAAAAAAUUGAUAAUUUA